AUGAUCUUAUUACUUUUUAUCAUUAUUAUGCACUUGGCUCACAUCUGUGGCCAGUCCAGUGGCUGCCCAUCAGGCACGCUCUCCAUGGCCUCAUCAUCACCAGCAGGACACUCACGUGGCUGGCAUGCGCGGUUCCUGAUCACAUGGCCCACUUUUGAAGUCUCCCGUCAGGGUCAGCUCCAGGGUAGCAGUAUGAUCACAUCCUAUUCUGCGGGAAGGUCUUUGAGCACAAUGGCAUUCCCACCGGAGUCCCAUCAAAGGAGUCUUGGUUCCUGAGAACAUAGGUUUUUCCAUCUCAGCACUUCCCCUAAAAUUCGAGCCCCCUGAGGAGGAACGAUAGAGCUAUCCCAUCUCUCCAUGGAUAGGAUCGCGCUGCUGCUUUGAUGGAUAAAGUGAGAGCGAGGUGCUGUGGGG
rnacentral:lncRNA from 1 species